rnacentral:lncRNA from 1 species
CAGCAGCCUAGCACGUGUCUUAUGAGCCUUGACCAGGAGAGUCAGAGGCAACUGUUAGAGAAUAGAAAUGAUGCUGAUGGUGAUGAUGACAACAGCAGCAGCAACUGUGGCAGCAAGAAAAGAGCUCAUCCUACUGGAGCUAUUCAGGCAUCACGCGCUUCCCAAGGAAGUUACAAUGGCUCCCGGAGACUUCCCAAUACAAUGUGGAGGUGGCUGCUACUGGCCCGGCUUUACAGAGGAUCAGUCUGAGUCUCGGGGAAAUUUAAAGGUACUUAGUCAAAGCC